rnacentral:tRNA from 1 species
GAGAAGGUAGUUUAAUAAAAAAUAAGAGGUUGUCAGCCUUUAGUUACCAUCAAUUUGGUUCUUCUCU